CUCCCCAGAACCCCAACCACAGUCCGCCCACAAGCACAAAUCCUCAUAGAGUCAAUCAAGAAGGUGGUAAGAUCCUUGCAUAGUUCUCCAGAAUCGGCGCCUUCGACAAUCGAAGGUGAUUGCUAAAAAUGGGCCUUGGCAUGCCUUGUAGAGAAUCAUAUGCUCACUUGUGAUGAAGAAAUGCGGCAAACAAGAGAGUAUUGCGGCAAUUGCAAGGAGCUACGCAUUUGUCAACGAGCGUGCAAGAAUGAUGGACUGCAAUGCUUCAUGCCUUCAUGGUGGGUGGUCUUCAUGAAUUUGGAGCCACAAAUAUUAUUCUAACAUCCUUCACGCAGGAAAAGUUCUCCGCUGCAAUUACUUACUACCACAAGGCUUUAUGGCUCAAACCAGACGAUAAAUUCUGCACCGAGAGAUGUUGACAUUGGCUCUAGCCGAUGAAUGUCGACAUGGCACCAUUCCAAGAAUUGAAUCUCACCAUAAUGAGCUAUUGAUUUAUUAGAGGGCACACAAGAUGCAAACUUUCUGUAUUGUAGUUAUAGCAAGUUGGUAUAUACCCAUUGGCCAUACCCCAUCAUCUGUAUCCAAGUAAAAGUCAUAAUUUGGGUGUUCAGUUGCACCAUCAGAUCAGCAUCUAAGAGUAUCAUUUUCAAGGGCUGUAUCUUGACUUUAUUACCAAGUUAUAUGACUGGUGUUUAUUUCCCAUUUAUUAGGGAAAAGUCUGGUUUAAAUUCUCAAAUAUGUGAAUAUAUAUGAUUAGGUUCAGUUUA